UGACUUUUUCGUUUGGUAAAGUGUCUUCAAUUAGAUUUGCUUGUAAAUCACUUUUGUUCAAAUUUUUGAAUACAGUUUUUGAUUCCACAAUGUUUACAGUAAUUUAAUUGUAUAUUUUAAGCUUCUCAAUCUUUGCCUGGUGCUUCUUAAUUUAAUUAACUUUCAAUUUUUUCAGUUUUUAUCAUGUUAAUCAGAACCUAUUUUUUGCUUUCCUUCACUUAAACCGCUUCAAUCAGUACAUGCUGGUUAACAAGGGAAGACCUUAUGUUAAAAACAUUAACAAUCUUCUUAACAACCCAACUAAAUGGUUAUUUAUGCUCAGUCACUUCUCUUGAUAUCUUCUCUCAUCAUCUUAUUGAUCAGAAAAUCUGAAUCUUUCAUUAUUUUUAUUAUUAUUACCAUCAUCCUUCUCGUCAUCCUUUUGAUCAACAUCAUACAGUUACCAUGGAUAACAAGGAAGAAUGAAACAUUUUCCCUUAAAAACAUCAACUUAAUUUCAUUGUUUUCUUCAAUGUUCAACAUUUGACAAUCUUCCCUGUGUUAUUCAUCAUGAAAAAUACUUUAUCUUGUCCUUUGGUUUUAUUUCUCAUCAUUUUCUCAUCAUUAUUACCAUCUACAUCAUCUGGCAAUCCUCUUUGACACUCAUUCAUUUCAAGUCCAAUUUGUAUGCUUAACAAGCUCAACCAAAUAAAAAUAAAAACCCAAUAAUAAGAUGGACCAGAUGAAAAGGAGGAAGUUAAACCAAUUGUCCGUAAUAAUUAGAUGAACAUAAAACAUUGGAUACACCAAGGGAAUACAAUCAAGAAACUCAACAUUGAAUAAGUCGAAUCGUCCUCCACUCUUGAUUUACAUCCACAUAUUGAUCAAUUGGAAAGUUAACAUUGUAAUAACUGUGUGGUUACAACUUGUAUGGGUUGAAGGUGAAACAAGUCUCGGGUUUCAAUCUCUUGAUGAGAGUUGAAAAUUCAUUUGAUAACCCACACAGAGACAAGAAGCAAUUUAAUUUAGUGUUUUGUUUUUUUUCUGCUGAUUCCAUGUGAUUUAGCCCAACUCCUACCAGUUUUUGUACAAUUUUUACGCUUACCAAGCAAAUUGGAAACAAAAUAAUAGAUUUAUGUUUUUAUUGAAAA